CGGGUGAGUAACGCGUAUCCGACCUGCCUUACACUCUUGGACAGCCUUCUGAAAGGGAGAUUAAUACAAGAUGUUAUCAUGAGUAAGCAUUUUCGCAUGAUUAAAGGUUUACCGGUGUAAGAUGGGGAUGCGUUCCAUUAGAUAGUAGGCGGGGUAACGGCCCACCUAGUCUUCGAUGGAUAGGGGUUCUGAGAGGAAGGUCCCCCACAUUGGAACUGAGACACGGUCCAAACUCCUACGGGAGGCAGCAGUGAGGAAUAUUGGUCAAUGGACGAGAGUCUGAACCAGCCAAGUAGCGUGAAGGAUGAAGGUUCUAUGGAUUGUAAACUUCUUUUAUACGGGAAUAAACGAAUCCACGUGUGGAUUUUUGCAUGUACCGUAUGAAUAAGGAUCGGCUAACUCCGUGCCAGCAGCCGCGGUAAUACGGAGGAUCCGAGCGUUAUCCGGAUUUAUUGGGUUUAAAGGGAGCGUAGGUGGAUUGUUAAGUCAGUUGUGAAAGUUUGCGGCUCAACCGUAAAAUUGCAGUUGAAACUGGCAGUCUUGAGUACAGUAGAGGUGGGCGGAAUUCGUGGUGUAGCGGUGAAAUGCUUAGACAUCACGAAGAACUCCGAUUGCGAAGGCAGCUCACUAGACUGUCACUGACA
rnacentral:rRNA from 1 species